rnacentral:rRNA from 1 species
UACAGAGGUCCCAAGCGUUGUUCGGAUUCACUGGGCGUAAAGGGUGCGUAGGUGGCUUGGUAAGUUCGAUGUGAAAUCUCCGGGCUUAACCCGGAAAUGGCAUUGAAUACUAUUGAGCUGGAGGUUUGGAGGGGGGACUGGAAUUCUCGGUGUAGCAGUGAAAUGCGUAGAUAUCGAGAGGAACACCAGUGGCGAAGGCGACUCGCUGGACAAGUAUUGACGCUGAGGUGCGAAAGCGUGGGGAGCAAACAGG